rnacentral:rRNA from 1 species
UACGUAGGGUGCGAGCGUUGUCCGGAAUUAUUGGGCGUAAAGAGCUUGUAGGCGGUUUGUCGCGUCUGCCGUGAAAUUUCGAGGCUCAACCUCGAACUUGCGGUGGGUACGGGCAGACUAGAGUGUGGUAGGGGAGACUGGAAUUCCUGGUGUAGCGGUGAAAUGCGCAGAUAUCAGGAGGAACACCGAUGGCGAAGGCAGGUCUCUGGCCGACUACUGACGCUAGAGAAAGCGGAAAGCAUGGG